rnacentral:rRNA from 1 species
UACGAAGGGGGCUAGCGUUGCUCGGAAUCACUGGGCGUAAAGCGCACGUAGGCGGAUUGCUAAGUCAGGGGUGAAAUCCUGGAGCUCAACUCCAGAACUGCCUUUGAUACUGGAGAUCUCGAGUCCGGAAGAGGUGAGUGGAACUCCGAGUGUAGAGGUGAAAUUCGUAGAUAUUCGGAAGAACACCAGUGGCGAAGGCGGCUCACUGGUCCGGUACUGACGCUGAGGUGCGAAAGCGUGGGGAGCGAACAGG